rnacentral:rRNA from 1 species
ACUCCUACGGGAGGCAGCAGUAGGGGAAUAUUGCGCAAUGGACGAAAGUCUGACGCAGCCACGCCGCGUGAGUGAGGAAGGCCUUCGGGUUGUAAAGCUCUGGUCAUCCGGGAAAACGGCUAUCUGGGGAAAGUCAGGUAGCGUGAUAGGUACCGGAGGAGGAANCACCGGCAAACUCUGUGCCAGCAGCCGCGGUAAUACAGAGGGUGCAAGCGUUGUUCGGAAUUACUGGGCGUAAAGCGUGCGUAGUCGGUAUUGAGAAGUCCAGCGGGU